CAUCCUAUCAGCAUUGGAUGUACUGCAGGAACAUUAUCUUUAAAUUUGUAUUCAUUGGGACUGUAAAACCCUUCCCUUUUCAUGCUGAAGACAAGGGGAUACUCAACCUAAUCAAGAAAUGAUGGAAAUUAAAAAGGAGAUUCUGUGGACCACCCUUUGUGUUUUCUUUGUGGUGACAGUAUCUUAUUCAAAACCAGUCAGUCUGCAUGGAUUCCAGCUCAGAAACCUGAUGGCUGACAGCCUGGAAUCUUCCGAGUCUUCUGAGUCCAACGAGUCUUCUGAGAACAUUGGCGUAGCACCACAGACAGCCACUGGUCAGCCAAUGGUCACUGGCGCUGAGACUGCAAUACCAGACACAGAGGAGGAGACCGAUCCACAAGAAAGCGAUGCUAUACCCUCUGAAACAGCCUCAGAGGUUGAUGAUGCUUUGAUCGCUUCACAAACUGCACUUGGAACUGAAGCCUCAUCGGCAGACUCACUAAAUGGGACAGAAACUGAGACUACCUCACAGCAUCCAGCCAUAAUCACAGUGACUGAUUCUCCCAGUCUGACUUCUGAUGUCAUAACCCAUAUAAGGUCUAUGCUCACGACGGCUCUUCCAUCAAUCAUUGACACAGCUACAAUCCAAGAAUUCCAUGUGGGCACAACUCUUCCCCCGAGCCCAUACCCCAUACCCAUUAUGGAGCAGCCAACAACUCCACCCGUCUCCUCAGUACUAGGCCUAACUCCCCAGCAGCCAGUUCCAUUGGAAACCACUGAUGACAUAUCUGCUGUGCCAGGUUGUUUUACUGUAGUAUACAUAACUAGCCCUCAGCCAGUUCCUGCUAGAGGCGAUAACAUUUAAAGCUGAGAGGAAACUAGAAUAUCUUUGAUUAAAGCUGGAAUCCGAAGUAGAGGGAAACAGCGCCACUGGCCACGGUUGUUAUUGUUUUUGUUGCCGAGCUUAGGAGCGUCGUCGCGCAGGAUGGUAAAAAUGUUUGCAUGUAUUGCCGUGUAAUGAUGUCCAAGGCGGGAAUUUUUUUUAUUCUUUGUUCGCAGUAACUUCUUUGUUGUUGUAAUGUUGCAACGGACAUGUCUGUUUCACCAUUAAGGAUUCUAGCUUUAAAGGUCAAAUGCAGCCAUUUUUAUCUCAAUAUCAAAUCAUUUCUGGGCAACAAUUAAGUACUUUACUGUCAUUGCUAUGAAUUAAAAUGGUCAAAAUUGAAAAGUCACUUGCACAUCCUUGUUGCAGUUUAAUUAGAUGAAAGCUCUGACGAAGGCCUUGAGGCCGAUACGUAAACCUUAAUAAAGAGCAGUGAUACUAGCAAGAGCAGUGUGCGGGUUUCUUAUUUUUUCUCCAAUUAAAAUGGUCAAAAAGAAGUCUUUUCAAACAGCUCUUAAGCUAAAAGGGCAUUAUCAUAAUUUUCACAAUUUUACACAAUUUUAAUUUGUCUUAGUGAGCUGCACAUUACUGACACCUACAUUAGUGCUUUGUGGAGGGCCUGCAACUGGCUAGAACACUCAUGAAAAUGAUUCACUAGUAUCUUCUGCACGAUAUCAGUGAUAAAGAUUCAGAUAUACCGUACCUCAUAUUGCUCAGUCUUUCAUAAGACAAUCUUCAAGAUAUUUGGUGGUAGGUAGUGGUUAGAGCGUUGGACUAGUAACAGGAAGGUUGCAAGAUCAAAUCCCGGAGCUGACAAGGUAAAAAUCUGUUGUUCUGCCCCUGAACAAGGCAGUUAACCACUGUUCCUAGUUCUUAACUGACUUGCCUAGUUAAAUAAAGGUAAAAUACACUUUUUUCUGAUUUGUUUUGAAACGUGACACAUAUUGCUGCCAUUAACAUUGUCAACAACCUGUUCGUGUACCUGCAAAAGAGGAUCCACCAUCUGUAAAUAAAUGCUCUUUAAACAACA